rnacentral:rRNA from 1 species
CCUACGGGUGGCAGCAGUGAGGAAUAUUGGUCAAUGGCCGAGAGGCUGAACCAGCCAAGUCGCGUGAGGGAAGACGGCCCUACGGGUUGUAAACCUCUUUUGUCGGGGAGCAAAGCGAACCACGUGUGGUUCAUCGAGAGUACCCGAAGAAAAAGCAUCGGCGAACUCCGUGCCAGCAGCCGCGGUAAUACGGAGGAUGCGAGCGUUAUCCGGAUUUAUUGGGUUUAAAGGGUGCGCAGGCGGAGGUGCAAGUCAGCGGUCAAAUUGCGGGGCUCAACCCCGUACUGCCGUUGAAACUGCAGCCCUUGAGUGCGCGAGAAGUAUGCGGAAUGCGUGGUGUAGCGGUGAAAUGCAUAGAUAUCACGCAGAACUCCGAUUGCGAAGGCAGCAUACCGGCGCCCGACUGACGCUGAGGCACGAAAGCGUGGGUAUCGAACAGGAUUAGAUACCCGUGUAGUC